AGUGAACGCUGGCGGCGUGCCUAAUACAUGCAAGUCGAACGGAGUGGCGCACGGGUGAGGAAUAUAUAGCUAAUCUGCCCCUUGCUAGAGGACAACAGUUAGAAAUGACUGCUAAUACUCCAUAGCAAGGGAUGGGACUAUAUCGUAUCAGCUAGUCGGUGGGGUAACGGCCUACCGAGGCUAUGACCCGUAACGGGUCUGAGAGGAUAAUCAGUAACAUUGGAAGUGAGGCACGGUUCAGACACCUACGGGAGUCAGCAGUAGUGAAUAUUGCCCACUGGGGGAAACCCUGACGGGGCAACGCCGCGUAGAGGAUGACACUUUUCGAAGCAUAAAGUCGUUUUUUUAGGGAAGCGGUACCUAACGAAUAAGCACCGGCUAACUUCGUGCCAGUAGCCGCGGUAAUAC
rnacentral:rRNA from 1 species